UGAACGCUGGCGGUAGGCCUAACACAUGCAAGUCGAACGGCAGCACAGUAAGAGCUUGCUCUUACGGGUGGCGAGUGGCGGACGGGUGAGGAAUACAUCGGAAUCUACUUUUUCGUGGGGGAUAACGUAGGGAAACUUACGCUAAUACCGAAUACGACCUACGGGUGAAAGCAGGGGAUCUUCGGACCUUGCGCGAUUGAAUGAGCCGAUGUCGGAUUAGCUAGUUGGCGGGGUAAAGGCCCACCAAGGCGACGAUCCGUAGCUGGUCUGAGAGGAUGAUCAGCCACACUGGAACUGAGACACGGUCCAGACUCCUACGGGAGGCAGCAGUGGGGAAUAUUGGACAAUGGGCGCAAGCCUGAUCCAGCCAUACCGCGUGGGUGAAGAAGGCCUUCGGGUUGUAAAGCCCUUUUGUUGGGAAAGAAAAGCAGCAGGUUAAUACCCCGCUGUUCUGACGGUACCCAAAGAAUAAGCACCGGCUAACUUCGUG
rnacentral:rRNA from 1 species